rfam:Trichobilharzia regenti genome assembly, scaffold: TRE_scaffold0009576
GUACUGCUGAAGAGUCCCAAACUAGGACGAAGCGGGUGUCCAGUAC